UAGGACCUGCGACCUCUCUGUCCCUGGUUAACUCUCUCUUCAAAGCCAUUUAAAUUUUUUGCAGGCUCCUCCGCUCAGAUGUAAGAAUAUUCUCUUUCAACUUCUUGAUGCAGCUCCUUAAUGAAGAUCUCGUGAAGGAAACUUAGUCAAAACCUGGGAGCAUUCCUAGGAGAGAAUUCAGCAGUGCAGCAUCCUCUCCGAGCUCUAUGAGUUGAUCGGCUUCCACCGCAAGUCCGCCUUCUUCAAGCGGGUGGCCCCCGUGCAGCGCGCGGCCCCCGGCAUCCCGGAGCCUGGAGGGAAAACCUGCUACCGACUCCUUCUGCAGACGCUUCCUGGCUACAGUCUGUCGCUGGAUCUGCAGGACUUCAGCAAAGGUGUUGGAACUAAAACAUUGCUUCAGUCCCAUUAACCAUGCCUGGUUUGGGCCCUGCUGUCCUGUCUCAUCAGGGUGAAUUCUGAUUCGUUUAGAAUAGGGCUCAGCAGACUUUUUCUGUCAAGGGCUUGGGAGUAAAUAUUUCAGGGUCUGCAAACCUCCUGAUCUCUGGUGCAGCUGCUCAGCUCUGCUGUUCAGACGCCAGAGCAUCCGGACAUUCCACACACCCACAGAGCUUUAUUAACAGCGGUGUCUGGGGCUGGAUUCAGUGUAUGAACUGCAGUUUGUCCCCACAGCCUCCUCACUAUUGACGCCUGCACCAGAGCAUGCAUUUGCGACAAUGGGUGAACCUGCACUGACACGUCAUCAUCACCCAGAGCCCAUACUUGACACUAGGAUUUACACUUGGUGGUGUGCACUCUGUGGGUUUGGACAGAUGUGCAAUGACAUGUAUCCACCGUCACAGCAUCAUACAGAGUAGUCUGUCUUAGUGACCUUAAAAUGCUCCGUGCUGCACCUCAUUCAUUGCUCCUUCCCCUCUAGCCUCUGAAAGCCACUGAUCUUUUAGUCUCUGUGGUUUUCCCUUUCCCAGAACACCAUACAGUUGGAAUCAGACAGUUGCGGAACCUUCCCAGAUUGGCUUCUUUCCCUUAGUAAUAUGCAUUUAAGGUUCCUCCUUAUCUUUCCAUGCCUUGAUAACUCAUUUCAUUUUAGCACCAAAUACUAGUCCAUUUUCUGGCUGGACCACAGUUAAUCCAUUCACCUACUGAAGAACAGCUUAGUUGCUUCUGAGUUCUGGUGAUUAUGAAUAAAGCUGCUAUUAACAUCUGUAUGCAGUUUUGUGUGUGGACAUAAGUUUCCAUUUCGUCGAGUAAACACCAAGGAGCACAGUUGCCGGAUCAUGUGUUAGGAGUACGUUUAGUUUUGUAAAAAAUUGCCAGACCGUCUUCCAAAGUAUCUGGGCCAUUUUACAUUCCCACCAGCAAUGCAUGAGAAUUCCUUAUGCUCCACAUCCUCACCAGCAUUUGGUGCUGUCAGUGUUCAGAGUUUUGGCAGUUCUGACAGGUGUGCAGUGGUACCUCGCUGUUUCAGUCUGCAUCCCCUUGAUGACAGAUGCUGUGGAGCAUCUUUCCAUAGACUUCUUUGGCAUCUAGAUUUUUUCUUUGAUGAGAUCUGUGUCAGGAAUUUUGCUCAUUUUUUAAUCAGGUUGUUCAUCCUUCUUGUUGAGUUUAAAGAGAUUUUGGUAUAUUCUGGAUAUCAGCCCUUUAUCAAUGUGUCCCUGCCCUUCACCUGCAGCACCGGAGUUGUCCUUUGGGUCUCAGUGGAGUGUCAGCUCUUCAAAGAGGUUCCCUGUCUUCCCUCAGCCUAAAUACUGUCCUUGUAUUUUUCACUUUCAUUGACUCAUUUUGUUCUUUUUAAAUAGCAUUUCCCAUAAUUUGUAAGUAUAUUAAAAAAAAGGGCAAUGAUUGAACACCACCUCCCCACCAGGCUGUGUGCCAUGUGAGAGCAGAGGCCCUGUCCCCACUCACCAUUUCCCAUGACAGCACAUGGCACAUGUCCAUGUAAAAGUGUGUAACGUGGGGCCAAACCUGAUGAGCAGCUAUGAUGACAUGUGUUGGCUACCAUUUAUUGAGUAGACUUUGUUUCUGAUGUAAAUUAUUAAAUCACAUGAAUUAAACUUGUUUGUUUUGAAAAAUAAAACAACAAAGCCCACCUCCA